rnacentral:lncRNA from 1 species
UAAAGCUCUUGGCGGAAGAUUCUGGUUUGUUGCGUCUUUCUUGCCGGUCGAGCGGGACGCAUUAAGUGGCGCCGAAGAACCCGGGAAAUCAGAACCGUGGGACAAAAGGCUCUACAAGAGUGAAGACAACCCAUUUUGGCUGCCGGAAUGACUCACCCGCAGGAUAUUCAUCAAGGAUGGUGCAGAAGAUGCUGACCUCCCGAGGACUGUUCCUGAUCCUGACAAUGCUGAACUUGUCUCAGGUUCCUAGUAUAAUGGGCGAGCAGAGAU